UACAUAAUGUAUUACAGGACAGGGCUUCUGCUUUUAACUGUCUGCCUGGCAGGUGUUGAUGGUCAGACUCUGACUGAGUCCGAUCCAGCAGUUAAAAGGCCUGGAGAAUCUCACAGACUGACCUGUACAGCCUCUGGAUUCACAUUCAGCAGCUACUACAUGGCCUGGGUCAGACAGGCUCCUGGAAAAGGACUGGAGUGGAUCGCAAGAAUUAGCAGCAGUGGGGGCAGCACUUGGUACUCUCAGUCAGUUCAAGGUCGGUUUAUCAUCUCCAGAGACAACAGCAGAGAGCAGCUGUAUCUGCAGAUGAACAGUCUGAAGACUGAAGAUUCUGCUGUUUAUUAUUGUGCUCGAGAGGCACGCUGA